AGUACUUGACAAACAAAAAAUAUAGAAUUUAAAGAAAAAAAGCUUUGGUAUUCCUAUAAAUAGUAUCUUUGGCCUGUUGAUGUGUCAGCAAAUUCAUGUGUGGCUUCUGAAAUUACAAACGCUAUAUAUAUGAUGUAUGUAUACAAAUCAAUAUCCUAUAAAAAUAAUAAUAAUAGUCAUUUAGAAAUUACCUGUAGUUCAGGGUCUUCAUAUAGAUUUUUACCUUUAAAUACUGCAAAGUUUCAGUGUAUCUUAUAUCAAAUCCAAAACAUCCAAUCAAAUGAACCAACUGUAACUUUCAACUCAUCCCU
rnacentral:lncRNA from 1 species